CCUAGAAGAUAACCUAAAAGCAAGCCAUCGCACCCAGCAAGCCGUCGCACUAAGUUCAUCACUGCCCAUCGCCAAGGCCGUUGCACCACACAGCUCGCCGUCAUGUUCAUCUAACCCUCACACCCAGCCCUUCAUCUAACCCUCACACCCAUCCCUCUCUCUGUUGCACCCAACCCCGCGCCAUCAACGAUCUCUCGCACCCAACCCUCGCACCAUCGACACAACCCUCGUUAGAUUCGGAACCCUCUAUCGGCGCUGCUCCGUCCACGCACUUAGUGGUCUCUGUCUCGGCGUGCCCUCCUACUCCCUCAGUGGUCUCUGUCUCGCAAACCCUCGUUGGAUUCGGAACCUCAAUCGUUGCUCACUCUAUUUCGCAAACCCUCAAUCGCCGAUCCUCCCUCCGUGGUUCAGCACCCGUCGCGUUGCCGUCUCCCUCUCUGAAAUCGUCGCGUCGCCGUCUCCCUCUCCCUCACUCGUCGCACCUUCGUCAGCCAUGUUCAACGUUCGCAGUGCCGUGCUGUGGUAGUGCUCAGCUACUGAUAUGUGGUGCUCAUUCUUUGAGUUUAUUCUUUGCUGAAUCUUGUUUGGCAGAGAAUACCUCUAGAUUUUUUGCAAGGUGACAAAUUUAGAGCAGCAAUAGAUAAUUACAUUUGGCCUCUCCUAACUAAGGGAGUUCCAUCUCUUUUCUCUGAUCUUUCGUCUUUGUAUAAUCAGCCUGGAAGGCAGACAUUUUGGAACAACUUAUUCUUGUAUUUUUUUUCACAGCGCUCUUCAAGCUAAGAGGUAAUUUGUAAAGGAGGAAUUCAAGAAAUUAUUGUAGCAUUUAUACUGAGUAUCGCAUCUAUUAAAAUAAAUAAAUAUGUCAAAGGGAUUUGAGAUUCAUCAAGAGAAUAAUGAGGAAAUGGCGGCAAGAGUAGUAAUGAUAAUGAGGGUGAGGAAAAUUCAUUUGACAUAAAUGAAGGAGCGGCUAUGAGUGAUGAUGAGGAAUUAGAAGAAGAGAAUAAUAAUGAAGCAAAGGAGGAGGAGGAGGAUAACAAUGAAGAAGGGAAUUUAACAAACCUAAGUAGCAGCAGCACAGCAUCAAGAGAAGGGAAGAGAGGGAGUGGUGUGAGGCAAUAUGUGAGAUCAAAGAUGCCAAGGCUUUGUUGGACUCCUAAUCUUCAUCUCUCCUUUGUCCAUGUUGUUCAGAUGCUUGGAGGUCAAGUUCCUUAUCUAGGCAACUUUCUGUGCAAAGCAGUUUUGCUGAAGCUGCUGCAAUGACAGUAAGUUUUGGACAUUCAUGGACCAGUUCUAGCUUUAGUUCUUGAGAAGUUGAAACCAUAUGGAGGCCUUCAAGGUAGGGUUUUGUAUCAUAGCUCAUUCUUAAUCCACUUUGUUGCUCAGGGUUAAUGAUUAACAUGAGUAUUCUUAUGUUUAUUUUCUUUCCGAUGCAAUAUUUGUGCUUAGAAUCAUUCGAAUCUGCUAAGGCAAUUUCAGUGGGUGCAUCAAAAGGUGUUCAAAGGCUAGGAAAUCAACUGUUAAUGGUGUUACAAAACACGAAAAUAAAGCUGCAUCUUCGGUAUAUUUGAGUUUGUGUUGGUUGAUUGCUUUUAAGAUAAUAGAACUGAAAACAUAUUGUCACAAAACACUGUAGGAGUAGUGAGACAGGGUUGCUUGAGCUCAAUUAACAAGUUUUGAAUUUGGAUUAGUUCUGCAAACACCACUGCCAAUGCUUUAAACUCUGAAAACAACAUAAAUAAAUAUAUAAAUAAUUGAAGUAGUUGUAAAAUGUGUGAAGAGGAAAGGAUUUGAUUUUGUGCUCCUAAAUCCAAAAGAUUGUAAGGUGGCAGUAAUGGUUAGAUACCAAGCUCUAAGAGCUUAUUUCAAACCAUAUAUUGCCUUGUUUAGUUUGCAAACAAGGUUUGAAUUUAAGUAAACAAAACUAGGGAGUUGAGACAUGUAAAUAGUCUUUGUUAGAUUUCCAUUUAGAAAAGCAUCAUGAAAAUUAUACUGCUUCACUGCUCAACCUUUUGAUAAAGCUAUGAUUAAGAUUAUUCUAAUAGUUACAGGUUUGAUAAUAGGUGAGAAAACCUUAUCAAAAUCCACACCUGCUGUUUGUGUAUAUCUACAAGCAACUAACAUUGCUUUAUGCCUAAGAAUGUUUGAGUUUGUGUUGGUUGAUUGCUUUUAAGAUUUGUUUGGCUUCCUAACUACUUGAUUCAUCAUCUUGAUUGUGGGCUGUUGCAACAAAGGGUGCUAGGUCUGAGCCUAUCUCUGUCCAAGAUAUAGCGCUUCAGUCUCAAGCUUUAUUAAAUGUUAAGGAUUCAAACAAGGAAUUGCUAAGCUCUGUAUACCAUAAUCUACUUUAAAAUUCUGUGUGUUUCCUAACUGGAUGCAGAGUUCAAACUUUUUUUUUGGCUAAGCUCUAUAUACAUUUGAUGUUUGCUAAGCUCUAUAUACAUUUGAUGUUGCUAUUUAUAUAUGUAUCAUUUUUUACAACCUUUAAUCCCAUUAGCUAUUAUUAGUUUAUUACUUUAAAGAUUUGUAGGUUGCGUGAAGGUGUGGGUAUAGCACCAUGCAAUGCUGCUGAAUAUCGUGCAAUGAUAUUAGGAAUGAGAUAUGCUCUUAAAAAGGGAUUUUCUUUUAUCCGUAUCCAGGGCGACUCCAAGCUUGUUUGCAUGCAGUUCUCAUGCAUACAGGUUACUGUUGCCCAACAGCUUCUACACCUCUAAUAGCUAUACAAGAGUUGCGUGCAACCAUUCGUGUGCUACAAAUUAGUCUAGAUGUUGUUUAGGAAUUAGAUUAGAUUUUUUAUAACAUAGAAUUGUAAUUUUUUUAAAUGUUUAUUUUGAAAUUAGAAUUUAUUUUUUUUAAAUGUUUUAUUCAUGUUUUAUCAUGUACAUAAUUCAUAUAAAUCAAUG